UUUAAUAGAAAAGGGUAGACAUCUUAAGAUCCCUAGAGAUCAGAGAUAUUGCAAAUUCUGUAAUGAGAUUGAGGACGAAAAACACUUCUUUCUCAACUGCCCUAAAUAUAACUUUUAUAGAAACAAAUAUUUUGACUUCAUAGAGAUCAAUUAGGAGUGGAAAGAUACUGCUAAAGAUGACAGUCAUGCUUAAACUUAAAAUAAUACUAAACCCCA
rnacentral:lncRNA from 1 species